GUGUCAGCCGCCGCGGUAAGACGAACCGAGCGAACGUUGUUCGGAAUCACUGGGCUUAAAGGGCGCGUAGGCGGGCUGGACAGUCCGUGGUGAAAUCCCCCGGCCCAACCGGGGAACGGCCUCGGAUACUUUCGGCCUGGAGGGAGGUAGGGGCGUGCGGAACUGUGGGUGGAGCGGUGAAAUGCGUUGAGAUCCACAGGAACUCCGGUGGCGAAGGCGGCACGCUGGACCUCACCUGACGCUGAGGCGCGAAAGCCAGGGGAGCGAACGGGAUUAGAAACCCCGGUAGUCC
rnacentral:rRNA from 1 species